CUGUCUGCAGUACUUAAGCCCGACUCAGUCCUCCACUCAUCGACAGAUUGUCUGUUUACCAAGCGUGAUCUCCAAGCAACUUUUCUACAACCAAACGCUCAGCUCCAGAACCACAGCCAGCCACUCACUAUCCAUAAUGCACCCUGGAAACCUGGACUCAACCUGCAAGUCCUCUCAUUAAAACCCUGUUUACAAGACUUCA